rnacentral:lncRNA from 1 species
GGAAAGUCAAAGAAGGGAAACCAAAUUCACAAAAUCCUAACUUACUAAGCCAGAGGCUGAGUGCCCUGUUUCAGGUUGUAAGGGGCAGCUGCACUCUUUCAAGGCAGUGCCCCUUGGCAGCCUGUGAAGUAGGGUGCAGGCUUCCAGGAGAUGGUGUAUGCCCAGUAACGGGAAGUGGGAAGUUGAGUCUGCCCAGCUUCCACUUGCUACCCAGGUAACCAGGAUUGCAAAUGACCUCUGUUACAUUUACUGCACCCCUAAUGAGAUGGGUUGGCCUGUACUUGGUGCACACGGUGGACAAAAUGUUUGCAUUUUUAAAUGCUGGAAUAAUUCUCAGAAUCUGAUAUGCUCACACUGGGAGGCACAGACAGGCACUGAGACCCAGCAAGAGAGCACUUUUGCAGUCCUUGGCAGCCUUUGAGUACAAUAGCAAGCUGACUCUGUUAUGCACAUUCUCUCAGCCUAUGAGAAGAUUGAGGAGAAUUCUGCAAAAUAACUAACCAGUGCUUCCCAAACUGUCAAGGUCAUGCAAAAACAAAACAAAACAAAAAAAAACAGAAAACAAGAAAAGACUGAAAGUGUUCAGAGAUAAGAGGAGAGUCAGAAGACAUGCCGUAUGAUGUCCCAGAGCAGAAAGAAGGCAGUAUGAGAAACCUGCACACACCUGGAAUUUACCUCAUGGUAAUGAACUGAUGUUUGUUUCUUGGGUGUGACAAAUGUACCAAUGCUAAGACAGUUGCUGUUUCCUAGUGUGUGGAAUGGGCCUCUGAGAAACCAGUAUCUUCCAUUGUGGGGAAGCAGAGGCACUCAUGGCCAUGGAGGAAUUUAUACAAGAUGUGCUUCUUUUUCCCUUCAGUUCUUUGCUUAUUCCUGGACUAUCAAGCCAUUCAAAUUGCUGUUCUCCUGCCCUGCUUCUCAGUCACCACGAACUAAGAAGUUUUGUUCUAUCAUACUCUUCUACCAUGCCAUUUCUGCCUUGAAGCAAAUCAACCAUGAAUUCCACCCUCUGAAACCAUGACACAGAUAAACCUCUCAUCCUUUAAGCGGUGGGUAUAAGAUAUUUGUCUCAGCUAUAAGAAAGCUGACUAAUGCAGAACAUUGGUACCAGAGAAGUGAAAGUCAUUGCUAUAAAUGUACUUGAUCAUAUGGUUCAGAAGCCUUUGGAACUGGUUUGUGGGAAGAGUCUUGAAAAAGCCUGGAGAAAGCCUACAAUAUUACAAGCAGAUCUUGAUGAAUGACUCUUGCUAGAGCUCAAAGAUAAGAAUGUUGGUAAUAACAUGGACAGUAUGAGAUUUCAGUUGGGAACUCUAUUGGGAAUUAGGCUAAAGGUCAUGCAUGUUAUACUCUACCACAAGUUCUCUAAUUUUGUUCAUACUCUAAGACUAAAUUUUAGGCCCAUGAGCCAAGAGAAAAAAUCAAGGCAGCCCAAUAUUCAGGCAGUGGUAUGUGUACUUCUGGUUUUUUAAUCCAGAUUUGUAGUGAGAAUCAGGAGCAAAAAACAGAUCAGAAAGUUUUGAAAAGCAUAAGUUUUGACCAGAAAAUUAGCAUAUGUAAAGUUAGCAUCAAGGAGAGUAUGGUUCCUAAAAAAAUUAAUGCUUUUUAAAAGACACCAAAUACUGUGAACUAGGACAAGAAGAAAGAUGUUUUGAGGGCACCUCAGGAACUGGCAAGACUGCAUCCAUCAUAGACUCUAAGGUACAAAAGUGUAGAUCUUUCAUUUGAAGAAAGAGACCCUGGGACCCUUUUCAAGAAGGUCCAUUUAGGAAAUUGGUUUCCCUGGAUUCAUUUCACUGUGUUCAGCCAUCCAGGCCCUCAGAGGCCACUUUAUUGCUCACAUUGGUGGCAGAUCUUGGCACUAUCCACAUAAUGCUGAUUUUUUUGGUAUACAGAAUGCUAUGGAAACAUUAAGGCUUCCACUCAGAUUUUAAAGAAAGGCCUUGAACACCAGGCAAAAAUGUGUGACAGUGUCAGUGUCCCUGCCAGAAGCUACUGAGAGCACAAUGGGUGUAGCUGUAGGAAUGAAGCCAAAGGUAUAAUGGAGACCCCAGGAAACUAGGGAUUUUAGGAGCAAGGAAAGCUGUGGCAACGAGUACAGCCAGCCCAGGAUAGAGGUCAUGUGAGCUGAAACUGGCAAAACCAUAGGGAUGGUGUUGCCCAAACCCUUUGGCACUCACAUUUCACCACCAUGUUCCCUGGAUUCCAGACGUGUAGCUAUAAGAUCUAACACUUGCCUUGCUGGUUUUCAGUCUUGCUUUGGUCCUAUUCUUCUUUAUUUCCUCCCCUUAUUCAUUUCUCUUUUUGAGAUGAGAGUGUUUACCCUGUACAGUUUUAUAUUGAGAAUAUGUAACUUGCUUUUUGAAUUUUCAGACGUUUGUAGCCAAGGGCUUACUUUGAGUCUCAGGGGAUAUUUUGAACUUAAAUUUAUGAAUAAUGCUGGAAUUGGUGAAACUUUAGGGUGGACAUUGAAGGACCCUAGUUAGUAAGACAGACUCCAUAUUGCUGCUUGACCCACCUGCCUGCCCUUUACAUGAACUCAGAAGGAGGAAGCUUAGAAACCUCCUCCCCUUAGAGUUUCUUAGAAGCAACAAUUAAUCAACUAUUGUUUUACAAAUGUUCUAAGGACAGGGUGUUCAGCUUCUGUACCUUUUGCUUGCUUUGCUAGUUCUAUCCCAUAGGGGGCCCCAGAAACUGCUGGCCUCAAAGAUGCAUAAAAUAUGUUAAUCUCCCCCAGUCAGGGCUUGAGUCUGAUGCUUGGCUCAGGUCCCAGCCAGUAAUAAACUGCUGUGUGGAUUUAAUAUCAGUCUCUGGUUGGUUCUUUCUCACUGGGUCCAACAGACAUUAUUGCAUUUUUGGUUGUAUGUGGGAUACUUACAUCAUGUUAAGUAGAUUCAUGACUUUGUGUUUAUUUGGAGAUUAAGUGUGACUUAAGAAAAUAUGUUUGGGUGUCAGGAAGGGGUGGAAUAUGAUGGUCACCAUGAACUAAGCACCUUUGCUCUGCUAUGCCCUUCCACCACAAUGUUCCUGUCUUGGGGACAGCUGGCCAUAUAUUGAACCCUUUGAAAACAAGAGCCAAUUAAACCUCUCAUCCUUUAUGUUGUAACUGUUGGGUAUUUUGUGCCAGAGAUGGUAAAGCUGAACAAUAUAGGCUAUAUAUUUAACUUUAUAAGAACAUCUAAACAAAUAUUCCAGUUGGUUAGUUGCUCUUUGUGUCUACCAGCAGCUAUUUAAUAAGCCUGAAUUAAGUUAUUUUAAAAAUGCCAAAAUUUGUAUGCAAAGGAAUGCCUCCCCUUUAAUGUCUAAUUGUUGACUAUCUCUAUCCCAAAGUUUAUGCUUAAUAAAUAGUGUGGACUUGUUUUUUUAAGUGAAUGUUAACUGCAUUUGAUGGCUCUUAAAUGUUUAUGUGAAAACUCUCAAAUUACACAUAUACUUUAGCCUCGGAGGCAUCUAACUUCAGUGUGUAGAUCAGCUUGUACCCUCAAGUUUUAUUUUCUGUUAAGUUAUUGUGCCUAAAGAAUACCAGUUGGAACAUAGUAG